CUGCAGCCAAUUAAGCUACGAGGUUCCUUUGCCAAUGGUGUGCACUCCUUGGUAGUGUGUGCAGUUGCUUAUAUAGGUUGCUCUAAGGAAUCUUGGAGACAAUU
rnacentral:snoRNA from 1 species